GAUACAGGGUCCAGGGAUACAGGGUCCAGGGAUACAAGCUCUAUGCAACGCGCACGCUAACAAAUCGUUGCCUGAGUUAUCUCCAUAUAUGGGAUAUGUUGUUAACUACAACACUAUGGAUACAGAAUACUAUGGAUAUGCUGGAAUAUACUAGAACACACUGGAAACACCACAUUCCACGUAUCUAGGGAUUACAUCAUUACAUCAUAAAUCAUUAGUAAAUCAGUAGCUACGUGCUGCCGAGCAACCUGCUUCUCAACAGGUUAAAAAGCUAUCCAUUAAGAAAAUACAACAGUGCAUUUUGAGUGUGGGUCAAUCUACUUAGAGGUAAAGUGGUCGUCUGAAAUAUAAGAGGAAGUAAAACCCUGUUUUACUAUUGGACUGUUUCUAUUCAUAUAAGGCAAAGCAAAUGCUACAGUAUUUGAGGGACUGAGACCCUGAGGUGGCAGGUUAAUCCAUGCAAAUAGAGCCUAUGCUUAUUUACAUUCCCAAUCAAAAAGUAAGUCAACCACAUCUAGUACUUAAUGUUAUUGCUUUUACUGUGUGUCAAAUAUACUUUCUGGGUGGAUGGAUAUAACAUUAUUUUCAGAAAUGACAUUAAAAAUAUUAAUAAACUCUGAAAGUACUUUUCAUGUUCAAGCUUAAUGAAACUUACAUUUUAAACACAACAGAAAAAAAAUUGUAGUUGCAAAGGGAAACACACAAGUCAGAAAAUACUAGACUGUAAGUAAUGCGUGGAAUCUUAAUUUCUGCUCUUUUGCAUAAGUAGUAUAAUACAGUUUUUAAUUAGACACUUGUGUUGCUUUGUCUGAGACACUUGCAUCAUUCAGCACACAUGAAUAGCAUUCAGUAAGUAAGCAACUAUUCAAUAUUUUAUUUUCUCCUCAUUAUCCACUGAGUAGCCUUAGGCCACUAUUCAAAUGCUGAUGUGGAGACAGAAUUAUUAACUUCUUGGAUUUUUUGACAGCAUUCAUCAUUAUAAUAUCUGAAUGUUUCAAAAAUAGUAUUUAAUUUCCCUUCACAGAACUCCUAAAAAGUAAGAGGGUAUUACUCCUAUUCAGUAGUUGGGGAACUGAGUCACGACGAUAUCAAUAUCUGAAGUUUAUGACAAUUUUGAGAUUUUAAAGCUCUAUUUGUUUUAAAAAAAAGAUGUUAAGUUUUGUAGAAUUUCAUUUACUCAAAGCAGAAAUCUCAUUAAUUUCAAUUGCAUCAGGAGUUGCACAUUGCUACAAAGCCAAGUUCUAGUGCCAGGGAUCAAAUGAUGAAAUGCAGAUGUCUAUAUUGCAGAUGAUGAUAGCUGAAUUAGUUAUACCUGAGUCCCUUUAUUCAGUGCAGAGACUUUUAAGAUUUGGUUAAUCUCAUUUGUAGCGAGACGUUCCUCAGCUAUGGCAUGAGACAAUGACAAAUGCUUACCUAUGAGGGCUGCUCCAAAAGUAACAUCUUCUAUUUAAUUAUAUUGGUCCCUGACAUCAGAGGCAGAUGUUGGUGGUAUGGCAGCAGAGUUUGAACCUUCCCACCAUGGUGAGGAUUGCCAUUCAACAGAUGGAAGCAGAAGGGUAGUCUGACAAACUGGCAUAUGACAUGGAAAUGUAUAUGAAGCAGAGACAGAAAGAUCUCAGAUGAAGAAGUCUAAAUGUGAGAUGACAACUACGAGGUGAAAGGAAGCCCACUGUGAUACUUUCUGUCUGCGGUGAGUUGGUGAGAAAAAUAUAGUGAAAAAGCUGAAUUCAGUGGUUUGCCCAGCUCUACUUGUGGUGGUUCUAGCAAUGAUGUUAAAGGUGCAAUUCUAUUUCCCAGAAAGGGCAUGAAAAAGAAAUUCAGGUCAUCUAGGUGACACAAUUUUUUCUCUCUUAACUUCAGUUUCUUUCUAUAUUCAUAUUUGAAACACUUUACAAAAAAAAUAAAUAAAGAAAGAAAAAAAUAAAUGAAAAAGUUUUCUACAGAAAAGUAUCUAUUUAAAUAUAACAUUUUGUAAUGUGUACUACAUCUAUGCAUAAACGAUCAGCUUCAUUUUCUGUUGUAGACUCUUCCAGCUGAAGAAUAAAUUGUUGAAUAAAUGGUUGCACCCUACCAUCGUACCCUAGCUCCUCACCUUAAAGCUCAUUCCUAUUAUCUCUCUAUUCUCAUUUUUUGAAUAAAGAUUUGGCAUUAUUAAUGUGUGCACUUCAAAAUUAUUUUCUGCACUUUUUGUCUGAGGAAUAAAAGGAAAGAGAACUGGCAGCUUCACAUACUAACCUCACAAAUUCUUAGAUCCUGCACUUUGUGUAAUAGUAAUCUUGAUGAUUAAUAUUGUAGGGUAAGAAAGUGAUUCAUAAUCCUAAAAUGGAGUAAACUUUCUACAGGAGAACCAGUGAAGUAGUUCCCUUAAAACGAUCCAGUGAAUUUAGUUGCUAAGAUUGAAAAAUGAAUAUUGUGACUGCAAAUGGAUGUUAUCUCAUAACUUAACCAAAGUAGCUUUUCAUGUCAAGAAACACCUUCCUGACUGCAUGGUUCCUUAUCUACUCUGUGUAAGAGCUGCAAAACUAAUUAAAAAUAAUCUACUAGCAAUUCCCUGAAUCCAUAUAUAUAUAUAUAUAUAUAUAUCAUUAUCAUUUAUAACUCCAUAGGGAUACAGAUUAGCAGUUUGCAUAUUUCUAUGAAUUAAAUUUCUGAUUUUGUUUUAUAUUUUGCUAUUCAAGUGACAAUGUUUAGUUCUAUAAUCCUCCUUUUCUAACUGAUAUUUUAAGUCCAGUUGCAGAAUUUAGUUGUACGAUCUAAUCGUUUCUUGAAAUUCACUGUUAUAUUUACCACAUGGUUUGUUUUGUGCCUGUUUUCCAUGACUGGUCAGUUGAUGGAGUUAAUGAUACAAUCAAGAAUUACCUUUCUCACAUUGAACAGCAGUUUACAGGGCAGCCAUAAAUGACAGCUGUGAUUUAGUUCAGGUCAUUGCAUCCAAAUCUUUCUUUAUAUAUUUGCAUUUGUGAGAAAAUAUCUCUCGUAUACUAAAAAUUGGACUGCAUCUUCUGAAGGUUUAAAGUUACAAAGAUUCCUUGAUCAACAAACUUGCAAGGUGCAACCUCAGUAAUUAAUGCAGAGAACUGAAACAGAAUGGAAUUUUACUGUAAAAUAAAUAGUAUUAGUUUUAAAUAUAUAUAUAGCAAACUGAAACAGCUUCUAUUUCUGAAUGGAAAUUUACCCUUUUGCUAAAUAAUGUUUUUAAUUCUAUUGAUAUAUAGGAUAAAUUGUUUGUUCACAGACAAAAACUUACAAAUACCAAAUCAGUGACACCAUUUAAGAGUGCUUUGUUGAGUAUAUGUUUUGCAGCGUUCAUAAUUAGUUACUGAAGGGCAAAAAAGUGUGGGACUGCAUUAAAGAACUAAUUGCAGGCUGAAAGGUUGCAUCAGAAUUUACAGCAUGUCAUUAUUUGAAUGUAGUAUUGCAAAGCUGUGAAUCAGAAAAAUAUUAGUUUGCUUAGCAGGACAGAGGAAUCAUUCUAAGUGUUUUAACAUCAGUAUGAUAUAUUACAAAGCUAUGUUUUACAAAGCCUUACUUGAAAGCAUUGAGAAUAUUGAAAUGAAAAUGAAUUCAUCUGCGUCUGCAACAGAAGAUCUGUAUUCCACCUGUAAUUGAACAUAUAUAACUUUAUAUUUAUUGUGCUUGAAUAAAACUUGGGAACAUAUUGUUUUCAGAAAUCUAAGCAGUAAGUUAAGGCCUUGUACAAAGAUAAUUUAUACUGCAUACAAUAAUGUCUACUGAUCACUAGAGAUUGUCUAAGAUAACAAAAAGGAGAAAUUCUCAGAACAUUGAGGACACUUAAAUAUUUGGCAACUGGCUAAAUUAGAGCUGUUUGGAUAAAUCCCUUUAAUAGGUUUAAACUUUCAGUGCUAUUAAUUCAGAGUAUAUUUCUUAAUUUUUAAUAGAACUUUGAGUAAAUACAAUAGUACUAAGUAGAACAUUUAUAGACUAGAUGUAUAAUGUAGGAAUCAAUGUCAGAAAACAAGUAAAAAAGAAAAGAUAGGCAUAAUCUCAUUAAUACUCACAUUUUAGACUGUAUAAAAGGCAAGAAGGUAAAAUGAGUCCAAGAAAAAAAUACUAGAUUUAAGUGCUAAUCAGUCCUUUUGAGCCAUUCAGAAGUUUAAGGCAGCAAUUUAAUAAGUUUUUUUUUUCAUACAUAGAAACAAAGUCUCUGAAUGUUCGUGAUAUUCACUUCUGAGUACAAUACAGAUUUUGAUAUUACAAUAAGAUUUAUCUUGCGUAUGGUUUGUAAUUUAGGUUUUGCAGUACUGCCUACAGACUAAACAUUAGCAUUUCCCUCUUAAUCUGUAAUAUUACAGUUAAAACAUCAUAACCUUCUAAAUGUUGUACUAAUUAUAUAGUUCGUUCUCACUUGUGACUAUAAUGUAUAUUUAUAUAUUAUGUACUUUUACUUCUGUACUAUCAAGUUCAUAGCAGAUUUUGUUUGAUUUAGUAGUAAUGUGUCUCUAUGCAUACAUCUCUGCUAUAGCAAUACAGAAAAAAUUAGGGCAGACAAUAUAAGUUAUUGUACUUGGAUGCUGUAAGUGUGAAGCACGUGGAUUCAGGGCCUCUGUAUAAGAAAGAAAAACCUUUUUCCAAACUAUUAGAAUCAGUUAGGCACAACAGAUGCAUUUGUUCAGGAUGUUCAUGACUUCUAAGUCCAGACAAGAACUCUAUUUGAAUAAAUUGCGGUUUGAAUAUAUAGUGUGGUUCAUUGUAAGAAUAAACUAUAAAUGAUUCUAAUCCAAAAGAAAAUUGAGACUAGUUUUCAAACAUGUUAAUUACCAAUCAAGUUAAUUGGCAGUCUAGAGCUGAACUUUAGUGACACAGUGUUGAUUUACUUCAGCUGAGCAUCUGGUUUAUAAUACCAGUUUAUACAACACUGCUUAUAUGAAGUAUCCUGAAGAUCAUACACAGGAAAGAUACAACACCAUAAUGAGUGUCCAAGAAAAAAUAAAAGAUAUUAUGUUUUUGUUCAAAAGUCUUUCUCCAGAUUGUAUACAAGGUAAAAAUGAAUAAUUUAACAUAAUUAAAAUGCUUGUUUUAGGCAAUUAUUACGAGAGUUACUAGUUCUCUUAAUUGCAAUAUGAUCAGAUGGCAUACAUAUUUUUGAGAUGCACUAAAUUUUUGCAAUGCUCUUGAUGUGUUUGAGCUAUCUCCAUUUUUCACAUAUAAACUUUUGUGUAGGUUUUACUAAAUUUCAUUAUACUUCUUUCUCACUGAAGAUAGGUAGUUAGACUAAGGAACUGUCGGUCGAAAACUACAGAAAAAUGUAGUAAAUUAGACAUGCACAUGAAAGCUUCCCACCAAGAAGGUGCAGAAGUGUUGGCCCUUUCUCUGUUUAAAUUCUUUUACUCCACAGGAAACAUUCUAAUGGAUCAUUCAAUGGAUUAUUCAAUGACUUUCCUUUCUUCAUUUUCCAGCCCAAAUGGGCUGAAAUCCAUAAUGUAACCCUAACACCGUUAUGAUUCUCUGCAUGAGGAAAUGGUUCUUGGUAUUUGUUCAGAAUUUAUUUUUUUUUCAUUCUUGUCAAUUUAUGUCAUUAUCCUGUCAUCUGUAAGUAAUUGAAUAUAAUAACUCAAGCACACAUCACCUGUUCAAGAAAGGAACUUUUGUUGUGCAGUUCAAUAUUCUUUGAAAUGUCUUAUUGUAUGGCAAUUUCAGGUUUUCAGAAAGGCUGACUACACUAAAGAAAGGAAAAUACAACUCCUUUUCCUUCACUUUACACAAAACUUUUUUCAAAAGUGUCCUAAAACAGUGAAAUAUGUCACAAAAAAAUGUCUGAGAAACUUUUUAUUUCUCUAGUAUGCAUGUCUUACCUUUUUUGAAAACACAUUUCACACUAAAUAUCUUCAAAACAUUUCUACAGGUUACUGUGAAAGUCAGUACUCCAUAACUAUCCAGAACUGGUGUAUAUUUAUAGAGAUAAUAAUAAGACCCAGUGAUUACACUGAUGCACUAAUGCAGAGUCAAAACAAAACAGCAAAAAUCCCCUAAAAAAAUAUUUUUUCUACAAAACUAACAAGAAAGGCAACAGGCAUAUUUUGUCAUAGGGAACUUCAAUGUGAUGAAGUAAGUGACAGAAUUAUUUCAGAAAUUCUUUGGUUUUUUUUCCUAGGCAGUUUGUGGUGACUACUGUGAAAGA